GGAAUAUAAGAAAUUGUCUCUUAACUUUUAACCAAAAAAAAAUGAACCAAUUCUUAAAUAAGAUAUUUAAGAUCCGGUUCUUAGUUUUUUUAGUUAAAAAUUAAUAGACGGUUUCUUGUAUUCC
rfam:Brassica rapa chromosome A9, whole genome shotgun sequence.